rnacentral:rRNA from 1 species
AAAAAUAUUAGUCAAUGCUCGAAAGAGUGAACUAGCUAACUGAAAUCAAUUAUAAAAUUGAUAACAUAAGGGAAAAUAAUGAUAUUACCUUAUUAUUAGUGUCGUCCAAAUCUGGUGCCAGAAGACUCGGUAAGGCCAGAGACACAAACGUUAAUCGUCUUAAUCAGGCGUAAAGGGUUUGUAGGCGGCUUUUAAAUUUACUUAUAAUUCUAAAACAAAGAUAAAUAAGUUAAGAAUAAAAGCUAGAAUCAAAUAGAGGAUAUAUCAAAUAAUGCUUAGAGUAGGUCUGAUAUCCUUAAAUACUAAGUAGAAUAUUAAAGGCGAAAGCUUUUUUCCAUUAAUGAUUGACGCUCAGAAACGAAAGUGAGGAUAGGGAAUAGGAUUAGAGACCCCAAAUACCCCUCUCUGUCAACGAUGAAUGGUAGUUAUUAGUAAUAAAUUUAUUAAUGGCAAUGUUAACACGAUAACCAUUCCGCCUUGUGAGUACAACUGCAAAGUUGAAAACAAAAAAAUUAGUCGGUUUCGGAGCAAACGAAGUGAAGCAUGUUAUUUAAUUCGAAUAAUCCGCAA